CAAUCCUCCCACCUCUGCCUCCCAAGUAGCUGGGACAACAGAAUUUGACUUGGGGAAGAAGAAGAAAAGAAGGUGGAUUUCAGCAUGAAAGAAUCUAAACAGUCAUUAGUGAACAAAUGUGUAGCAGUGCUGUCCAACAGAACUUUCUGAAGAAGUAAUGGGAAUACUCUGUAUCUGUGAUGUCCUGUAUGGUAGCCACUGGCCUCACACAGCUCUUGAGCACUUGAAAUGUGGCUACUGUGACUGAGUAAUUGAGUUUUAAAAUUUCAUCAAUUUUAAUUAAUUGAAAUUUAAAUAGCCACAUGAGGCCAGUGACUACAGAAUUGAACAGCACAGGUCUCACAGAUGGACUAAGAGUAAGCCAGUUACGAAGAAGCUUAUACAGGAAGACCGGCUAAAAUAUGUCAAAGGAGAGUUUCUCUUUCUGAACUCCGAGGAGCUGUUCAAAUAAGACUGGUCUGGAGAGAGUUUUGGGUGGCUGGAGGUAUUUUCACCCCUCCACUUACUGUGCCUAACCUUAGUAUUGUUGCCAUUCUCACGUUUCUGUAUGACUCCAUCUCCCUUGUUCUGUUCCGAUGCCGCUUUUUCAGUUUUUCUGAGCUCUCAAUUAAACACAGUGAAAUGAA